rnacentral:sRNA from 1 species
GCUGUUCGUGUGCGCGUCCUGGGCGCGGAGGGGCUUCUGCGACGCUCGCCGGCGGCUCAUGAAGAGGCUCUGCCCCAGCAGCUGCGACUUCUGCUACGGUGAUGCCCACGGGGCGGGGACAGGGCUGCGUGGGAGCUGGGUCUUGGCCAUGGUCUGGGCUGAGGGGGCACUGAUGGGGCUCUUUCCCCCACCCGGAGCAGAAUUCCCCUUCCCCACGGUGGCCACCACCCCACCGCCCCCCAGGACCAAAACCAGGCUGGUGCCUGAGGGCAGGAACGUGACCUUCCGCUGCGGCCAGAAGAUCCUCCACAAGAAAGGGAAAGUGUACUGGUACAAGGACCAGGAGCCCCUGGAGUUCUCCUACCCCGGCUACCUGGCCCUGGGCGAGGCGCACCUGAGCAUCAUCGCCAACGCCGUCAAUGAGGGCACCUACACCUGCGUGGUGCGCCGCCAGCAGCGCGUGCUGACCACCUACUCCUGGCGAG